rnacentral:rRNA from 1 species
AUUGAACGCUGGCGGCAGGCUUAACACAUGCAAGUCGAACGAGUGGCGGACGGGUGAGUAAUGCUUGGGAAUCUGGCUUAUGGAGGGGGAUAACGACGGGAAACUGUCGCUAAUACCGCGUACCAUAGGAUGAGCCCAAGUGGGAUUAGGUGGUUGGUGUGGUAAAGGCUCACCAAGCCGACGAUCUCUAGCUGGUCUGAGAGGAUGACCAGCCACACGGUGACUGAGAAACGGCCCAGACUCCUACGGGAGGCAGCAGUGGGGAAGUUUGGACAAUGGGCGCAAGCCUGAUCCAGCCAUGCCGCGUGUCUGAAGAAGGCCUUCGGGUUAUAAAGGACUUUUGUCAGGGAAGCGGUACCUGAAGAAGAAGCACCGGCUAACUACGUGCCAGCAGCCGCGGUAAUAC